rnacentral:rRNA from 1 species
UACGGAGGGUGCAAACGUUGCUCGGAAUCAUUGGGCGUAAAGCGCACGUAGGCGGCUCGUUAAGUCGGAUGUGAAAGCCCCCGGCUCAACCGGGGAGGGCGGCUGGAAACUGUGCUUCUUGAGGGCGAUAGAGGAGUGUGGAAUUCCUGGUGUAGCGGUGAAAUGCGUAGAGAUCAGGAGGAACACCCGUGGCGAAGGCGGCACUCUGGGUCGGCCCUGACGCUGGAGGCGCGAAAGCGUGGGGAGCGAACGGG